rnacentral:rRNA from 1 species
AGCUACAGGCUUAACACAUGCAAGUCGAGGGGCAGCAUGGUCUUAGCUUGCUAAGGCCGAUGGCGACCGGCGCACGGGUGAGUAACACGUAUCCAACCUGCCGUCUACUCUUGGACAGCCUUCUGAAAGGAAGAUUAAUACAAGAUGGCAUCAUGAGUCCGCAUGUUCACAUGAUUAAAGGUAUUCCGGUAGACGAUGGGGAUGCGUUCCAUUAGAUAGUAGGCGGGGUAACGGCCCACCUAGUCUUCGAUGGAUAGGGGUUCUGAGAGGAAGGUCCCCCACAUUGGAACUGAGACACGGUCCAAACUCCUACGGGAGGCAGCAGUGAGGAAUAUUGGUCAAUGGGCGAGAGCCUGAACCAGCCAAGUAGCGUGAAGGAUGACUGCCCUAUGGGUUGUAAACUUCUUUUAUAAAGGAAUAAAGUCGGGUAUGGAUACCCGUUUGCGUGUACUUUAUGAAUAAGGAUCGGCUAACUCCGUGCCAGCAGCCGCGGUAAUACGGAGGAUCCGAGCGUUAUCCGGAUUUAUUGGGUUUAAAGGGAGCGUAGAUGGAUGUUUAAGUCAGUUGUGAAAGUUUGCGGCUCAACCGUAAAAUUGCAGUUGAUACUGGAUAUCUUGAGUGCAGUUGAGGCAGGCGGAAUUCGUGGUGUAGCGGUGAAAUGCUUAGAUAUCACGAAGAACUCCGAUUGCGAAGGCAGCCUGCUAAGCUGCAACUGACAUUGAGGCUCGAAAGUGUGGGUAUCAAACAGGAUUAGAUACCCUGGUAGUCCACACGGUAAACGAUGAAUACUCGCUGUUUGCGAUAUACUGCAAGCGGCCAAGCGAAAGCGUUAAGUAUUCCACCUGGGGAGUACGCCGGCAACGGUGAAACUCAAAGGAAUUGACGGGGGCCCGCACAAGCGGAGGAACAUGUGGUUUAAUUCGAUGAUACGCGAGGAACCUUACCCGGGCUUAAAUUGCAGAUGAAUUACGGUGAAAGCCGUAAGCCGCAAGGCAUCUGUGAAGGUGCUGCAUGGUUGUCGUCAGCUCGUGCCGUGAGGUGUCGGCUUAAGUGCCAUAACGAGCGCAACCCUUGUUGUCAGUUACUAACAGGUUCCGCUGAGGACUCUGACAAGACUGCCAUCGUAAGAUGUGAGGAAGGUGGGGAUGACGUCAAAUCAGCACGGCCCUUACGUCCGGGACUACACACGUGUUACAAUGGGGGGUACAGAGGGCCGCUACCACGCGAGUGGAUGCCAAUCCCCAAAACCUCUCUCAGUUCGGACUGGAGUCUGCAACCCGACUCCACGAAGCUGGAUUCGCUAGUAAUCGCGCAUCAGCCACGGCGCGGUGAAUACGUUCCCGGGCCUUGUACACACCGCCCGUCAAGCCAUGGGAGCCGGGGGUACCUGAAGUGCGUAACCGCGAGGAGCGCCCUAGGGUAAAACUGGUGACUGGGGCUAAGUCAUAACAAGG